CCGCCCAGCUCCCCCCACUCGGCGGCCGCGCGCUCCGCCAGACCCUUCCUCCCUUCAACGCCCUAGUCCCGAAAUCCGGGAGGCGGGGGUCGGCGAGCAAGCUGAGUGGGAACCGCGUGGUGUACAAGGAGCCAGUCGGCGACCGGUUUCCUUCCAGGCAUAGACCCCUUUUCUUCCAGGCAAACUCCAGCAUGGGGGUACAGAACAUCCUGCUCCAAAGGCAUGAGAAGAGAACAUCCUAUAUUGGCCACUCCUGCCCAAUGUGGAGGGGAGCAGAAACUCCAGAGCCCACCCCUGAAGGUUUGUGGCUUUCAAGGCUUUUUUUCAAUGGAUCCCAUUUAUGGGGUGUUUUAACCAAGCUCUGGGUAUUUAUGAUGUUUCCAUCUGCCAAUAAGAAAAUGACUGCUGACCAUUUUGUUUGCUUCCUCUCCUUAACCUAUUGAGUGACACAGCCUAUAACUCACAGCAACUAUACCUCAUCUCCACUGAAUUUAGCUGGGACCAGUCCAUGAGCCUUGAGGGAGAGUAGUCAGUGAUGAGGCCCACAGGAGGCUCUGUACAGACAGGCUGAUCCUGCUCGCAGACAGCUACCUGGACCAACUUGUCAAAAGGGUUUAGGGAUAACAUUUGAGAUAAAGAGGAUAGCAGAUCAGAUCCCAUCCCCAUAAAGGGGCUUCUCUGCUACUCUGGGUUCUCAGAUCCCUGGAGCUAGAGCAAUGAGAAAAGUCUGCGGAAUGUUUGCAAACAACUUGGAUGACCUGAGAAUUAGGAAGGAAUGCUUCUUCCUUCUCUGCAGGUUUGCUAAAAAUGUGAAAAGCAUUUCUAGAAUAAUGCCAUUAACUUUCAAUAUUAUUCCUUAUGGGUUAUUCAUGUUCCUUUUUGCCCCUUUCCUGGGUCCUGAGUUUCUUUCUCAAGGCUAGGCCAGGGAACUUUUAGGCUGUGUACUGGUGUGGAGUGAUUAUCAGGUACUGUCCAAAGGCAAGGUGCAAUACUUUGGGGUCUCUCAGAUAACCAUCCCUUGCCCAGGCCCCAGCCCUUUCUGAGACUUUUG
rnacentral:lncRNA from 1 species